rnacentral:rRNA from 1 species
UACGGGGGGGGGCAAGCGUUGUUCGGAAUUACUGGGCGUAAAGGGCUCGUAGGUGGCCAACUAAGUCAGACGUGAAAUCCCUCGGCUUAACCGGGGGAACUGCGUCUGAUACUGGAUGGCUUGAAUUCGGGAGAGGGAUGCAGAAUUCCAGGUGUAGCGGUGAAAUGCGUAGAUAUCUGGAGGAAUACCGGUGGCGAAGGCGGCAUCCUGGACCAACACUGACGCUGAGGAGCGAAAGCCAGGGGAGCAAACGGG